rnacentral:lncRNA from 1 species
UCGCAAAUCAAGAGAGACAAAAUACAGGAUCGGUUACAGUUUUGCAGUCCUAAAGUUGACACAACAUUGCAAUUCGCAAACCCAACCCAAAGAACCGUAAACUCACUCUCUUUGUCACCUCCUUGUGAACUCUCCACUUUCAUAACUGCACGCUCUCUCCGGAACCGCCCGUAAGCUUGCCAUUUAGUUGCCUUUCGGUUUUCGAUCCCGUCGGCUCGCAGGUACAAAAGCACGGAGAAAUGGCUG